GGAAUGUUAAUUCUCUUCAAGCGGGGAAACACCGUUCGAUCUUUCUGUUGGUUUUGAAAAUUAAGCGUUCGUCGCGUUAUAUCUGAGUCAGUGACACGUUGCAACGCUAGAAAAUAUUUCACGUUGCAGCAACGUACGAGAAAAGCUUCGUCAGUACGCGCGACUCUUUGCCCCGAUCUUUCACAAAGUGUGUUUCGUUGCCGAAGCCAGAACAACGUCGAAGUAUUACAAUUUUUAGUGGAAUUAACAUUUUAUCAUUUACUGAUUAAUGAUAGAAUGUUGGUGGAAUAAAAAAAUUGCGAAUGAACCUAUGUUUCGUAUGCUACGCACCAGUUGAUGCCAGAAGAAGAUAACAAAGAGCUGACCAAAUAUCCAAUUGAAUGGCAAGGACAUAACACGAAGAAGGCAAGUUAAAUACCUAGGACUCCACUUAGACACACAAUUUACAUGGAAACAACAUACUAAGUCAAUUAUAGACAAAAUACGGAUAAAAAGAAGACAGAUGUAUUGGCUAAUUAGUCGAAACUCUAAACUCAGCAUAGAAAAUAAAGUAAAAAUCUACAAAACGAUAAUAAAACCAAUUUGGACGUCAGGAAUAUCACUAUGGGGGACAGCAGCAAUCAGCCACAUAAAUAAACUAGAGGCGCUACAAUCGAAGAUACACAAAGGAGGAUAUACACAAAGACUUAAAAAUACCAACAGUCAAAGAAGAAAUCGCCAAGUACGCAGAAAAAUACAAGGAAAGGACGGCAACACAUCCAAAUCAGCCGCCUGUUGAAGCGAGUAAAACUCUCAUAAAGAGACGACUAAAAAGAAAACACCUCACUGACCUCACUAAAGAAAUAAAAUAGUCGAACUCGAAGAUAAUAUCCCGUAGCCAUCCACAUGUUAUUUAACGAUCAAAUUAGAAAAAUUUACCAAAUGUCCAGCUGGAUAAAUUGUAAAAUACAAAUUAAAUAAUAAUAAAAAAAAGAAUAGAGGGUUGUGACUAUGAAUAGGUUACUCUCGAGCAACUUGGCUCAAUUCACGUAUCGUCGUGAUAUUCGUGUGUUGUUAUUAUAAAUCGGUCAGAGUAUCCACAUAAGCAUUGGUUGAUUUACGCGAUAUGGUAAUCCGAUACAACAGCGCACUCGAAUGGAACGCUUUGUUAUUAUUAAUGUUGGAAGCUUGUUUCAUGUUCGAUGACUAUUUAUCGAGUAUUGCUCAUCUUGAUUACACGUAACUGUACGAAAGAAUGUAUAACAGCCAGAAGCAUAAACUAAAGCGACACGAGAAGAAUUACACGAUGCUCGAUGCGUGAUAGAAUUCGUUCAAAGUGAAAGUAACUGUUUGUUAUGCGAUGCAAAGAAUUUCUCGAAUGUUACACGUAUCACAUGGCUAACGAGUAUCGAAUUUUCUUCAUCUUUUUGAAACACUUUUCGCACAUUUCAAAGAUUGUCAAAGAUCGCACGUUUUAUAGGUUAAGCUUGGCAACUAAGUGAUUGCGGAUUUCGUCAACACCACCUAAUGACAAAGCAUUGGCAAAAUCCGCAAUCACUUAGUUGCCAACCCAAUUGUUUUAACUAAAAAGCUCGAACCUUCGAACGCAUUUCGACAUAUUUCGUCCACGCAACUGGGGCAUAUUCGAAAUUCGAAAGUUUUCGUGCGGAGUUCUGAAAUUUUGCGUAACUGAAGAUUUUAAUAAUAAAAGCUUAACAAAUUUGCGAUUUAGCACGCUCGGACGUUUAAAAUCUUUUCUACGCGAAUUUCUCAAUGCUGCAACGUUUAAAAAUGUAAGAAACCUUCGAAAUCUUUUGAAUGUUUAACUUUCAAAUGUUUGGACGUUUGAAGGUUCAAGUAUUCGAAACGUGAAGUUUCGAGAUCUUGGAAAUUUGACAGAAUUAAAUGAAAAUUGAAAAUUCCUCCUCCACGGCAUUCAAAAUCCUUGUUCCUGAUAAUUUACGAUUUCCAAAUAUAUUGGCAAACUGAAAAUACUUUACAGGACAGAAAAGUGCAGCAUUCACGUGACCAAACCUAUGGAACACUAUCGCGUUACGUAACAACCUGCACUAAUGUUGCCGGUGCUAUGAGAAAAAAAGAGCUGCAAGAAUUGCCUUUUGUUCUUACAAUGAGAAUUUUCAUCUGGUUAUUCGUGAUUUUUUUUUUUUUUAAGAGAAAAAAAAGGGGGACGAGUAAUUAUUGGUAUAAAAAGAAGCAGCAGUGUCUACCAUAGAAAACAGUAGUUUUUCCAUUAAAAAAAAAAAAAAAAACAGCAGUAUACAAUCAAGAUAAAAUCAUCGAAUAAAACAAGUUGUUAGCUUUUUGCUUUCACAACGACAGCAACAAGAAUAAGAUAAAAAAUCCUUUACGAUCUAAGUGAUAAAAAAACAUGCCAAAAUGAUAUGAAUGGCUUGUUGAAACUGGCAUUUCUUAACGAGAAGAAUAUUAUUAACAUAUAACAAUAAUAUAUGGAUAUUAACAAUAUCGAAAAUGCCAGCAUUAAAUCCAAAGAAAUAUCAGAGAACGAAAGAAGCGAUUGUUAAAUGAAAAUCCCCAUAGAAAUUGUCGAAUUUGGAACUUUAGAAAAAGGGCCUGUAAGCAGCGAAUUGGAAGAAUAUUUGUCAAGUAAUAUCAUCGGGAAAUUCAGCUGUUUUCUUUAAAAAUUAAAUACAAGGCGCCUGAAUUAUUUGUCCUUCGAAUGACAAGGCAUUUUUCAGAUAAAGUUAUCAGCCAAUGUACAAUAUAUUGAAUCAUAAAAAUAAGAGCAGUCGAUAGCUUGUUUGAAUUUUACUUACGUAUUUACAAGACACCGUGUAAAUAACCGUUAAACAGAAUUAUCUAAGCGAGGAAGGCAAUUAUUUCUGAAGAUCAACGAGUUCGUUAGAUAAAUUUAUCCUCCUCAUUGCGAAUCACACAGACGUUCAAUGUUAGUAGAAAAUUUGAAGAAUUUACAGACCUGGUGGUAUCGUUGUUUCCUGGCUGCGCCAUUCUAAAUCGAUAGUGUACACCGUAUAUUACUGUUCUUGAGCUGUUUUCAAAAUUCUUUCACAAGCGCAUUCUUUGUUUCGCGCGUUCUGCACCAAACUUCUUCUUUCUGCUUGCAAAUAACGUUCGAAGAAUUCGGGUAAUCUCAUGAGAUCCUGUCGGGAUUUUCUUCCUCUCAGAUCUUGUCAAGAUUUUCCUCGCAAAAAAUAAUUCAACUUACUCUUCCUCCGGGGAAAAAAAAAAAAUCGAAGACGAUUUCACGAGCGACUGGCUUCGAUAAAGAGAAUUUAUGUUUCACUCGUCUUCUUAAUCCUCGCCGAUUCACAGUCUUCUCAUGUCUUCGACUUUCGCAUCUUUUACGAUCACGAGAAUCGUGCUGUCGUUUAAAAUAAGCCGUUAGAAAAUCUUGCAAGAGCUUCUGUUUGCUAUUCUGUUGCGCUGUUCUUCUUAUUCCAACAUCGCGCGGAUCUCUUCUAAUCGCAAAGAGUCCAAGAGUUCUACUUUCGUUGACAAACGACAGACAGAUAUUUGAAAAGUUGCUUUCCUCCGAUAUUUUCUGUAGCGAUGAUUUUUACUGUUGCAGCUGGUUAGCUUUGAUCAGAGCCGCAGGAUUUACGAGUACGAGCCGAAUAUCCCAGAUACUUUCACUUCUCUCCUUCACCUUGCGACUUCCCUUGGUCGAAAAUCCUAGCGUUGCAACUGAAAUCCGCGUCUAUGUGCCAGCCUUGCGUUCAAAUGUUUCCCAAAGCCUCGUCGAUCGUUCGCUCGCGUGCCUCGCUCGUGACUAAAAUUCCGACGUUGACAAGUUGCAGUUGAGAAAAGCCACUGGAGGCAGGUCAAACGACCAGAUCGCCUUGCCAAGCGUCGAUCGCGUCCAACGACGAAGAAAACGGCGAUAAUAAGGUCUUAUGGACAGUGCGGGAUUCGAACACGAGGUCUGGUUAUCUUCUUUCUCGUAUUUACGUGGAAACGCGAUUUCCCCAGCUGCAGCUAGUCGUCUGGUCUUUUUGGCCAGGCCCGGAGUCUCACGGGGCAACAACGAGCGUUUGCACGACCACUUCCGCUUGCAAGCCGAGAGCACAGCCAGCUAGUCCUUCGCCCGACUCUUGUCAGACGCACUAAACUGUUAAUGAAAGCGAACAGCUCGAGUGCACCUUCCGAUUCCUCCUCCACCAAACACGUUCGCUUUCAUCAACGAGCACAUGUGACGGGUCAGCUUCAGUCAGGCGAAUAUCAGUCGCGCAAAUGAGGAGACCGGUGUUUUCUAAUCCUCUUUCCAAAUUGAUCAGACCGACGCGGGGAAAGACGAGCGGCAGUGGAAAACAGCAACGUUGAAUUUAAAGUUUGGGACAAAGUGGAUGAUUCGGAGGCUCCUCGUUGCUCUACUGGUAAGCUGCUAACGAUAGUUGGUCAAUUGGAGUAGACGUCUUGGUUUGAAAUAUUAGAGUAGAGGUUUUGGGUUUUAUUCGAUUAUACGCAUUCUCUUCAAUAUUGCACUGAAUAGCAAUGUUUGGUGUCGCGUUUCACUCAAAUUGGAUGCUGUAAAGUAUUAGGAGUAGCAUUGUUAGUGUUAGGAAUAAAGUAUAUUAAUAUGUGGCUUGGGGAGUGAAUUCAUAUCACACUGAAUAUUUAUGUGUUGAUCUAACUCAAACUGAGCCAUGCAAAGUGUUAGAAAUUGUUCUUUCUAUUACAAAUUCUUGGUAUUCUAAAGUUCACUGAUACAGCUUGUGGAAAUCAGUGGGCCACAGUAUCAAACUGUAUGAUUGUCUGGUGUUGUAUGUAGUUCAAACUAUUGGAAAUCACAUCUUGUAUCCUCUUUGUUGGUAUUCUGAAAUUCACUCAAGUGGCUUGGGACUUUGUUGCAUUAAAUAUUUAAAAUGCAAGCUUGAGCUGGUUCACAGGAAAUUUGUUUGGUAAAAGGGUUCUUACUGCUAUCUUAAAAAUCAUUGAAGAAUAUUGGGAAAAUUCAAGUACUAUAAUGUCAUACUCUCAGCUACAGGUAGCUUCAUUGAACUAGAUCUUCUUCUAUCAGGAAAAGUGUCCUCUUCAGUAUCUUAGAAUUUAUUGAAUUACUUUAGAAAUGUGACUCUUACUUUGGAAGUUUAAUGUUGAUACAAAAGGCGUGAUAUAUGCUUUACAACAACAAUUUAUCUUUGAGUACUUCAUUGUCUUGAUAAUCAAUUAAUACAAUCUGACCAUCAUUGGAUUACUUGAGCAAUCUACAUGUAUAAGUAAUGACAAUAGAAUUUAAGUACACUAUGUAUCAUAGGAAGAGGAAUAUAUCUUUCAAGCAUGAUUUAGAUAAAAUCGACUGCGUUAAUUGGGUAUGCCGUUUAUUACAAAUGAGCUACUUAUGUGCUCUUGCUAGUCCAAUAUGAUCAAUUACUCUCGUCUAUGCUAUGUUUAUCAAUUGUAACAGGCAAUUAGCUUCCAACUGUUCGUACAUUACCAACUUGUCGAAGAGAAAAAGAAAGGAUAGAGGAAAUUGAUCAACAGACUGUGAAUUUUGAAGCGUUUAUGAGAAAACUUGCAGUUUCUAAUAAAAUAUUCAAUGUAAAGUAUUUGUUACAAUAUUCAGAUAGGAUGAGGAAAAACUGAAUCUGUAUAAUUAUUCAUAGCUUAUUGACCAAUUAUACGACGAGUUCAUUCAGGAUAUUAGAGGUAACUCGAGGUGUAGUAAAUGUGAGAAUUUAUUAAGAACGGUAUAUCUGGUGUACGACACAUUUGCACAUGUUAAAUUAAUUAAAUAAAUAUAAAAAUCAUGCGAAAUCCUAAA